UACGAAGGGGGCUAGCGUUGUUCGGAUUUACUGGGCGUAAAGCGCACGUAGGCGGAUCGUUAAGUCGGGGGUGAAAUCCUGGAGCUCAACUCCAGAACUGCCUUCGAUACUGACGAUCUUGAGUCCGGAAGAGGUGAGUGGAACUCCUAGUGUAGAGGUGGAAUUCGUAGAUAUUCGCAAGAACACCAGUGGCGAAGGCGGCUCACUGGCACGGUACUGACGCUGAGGUGCGAAAGCGUGGGGAGCAAACAGG
rnacentral:rRNA from 1 species